UACGGGGGGGGCAAGCGUUGUUCGGAAUUACUGGGCGUAAAGGGUUCGUAGGUGGCCUGCUAAGUCAGACGUGAAAUCCCUCAGCUUAACUGGGGAACUGCGUCUGAUACUGGAUGGCUUGAGUUCGGGAGAGGGAUGCGGAAUUCCAGGUGUAGCGGUGAAAUGCGUAGAUAUCCGGAGGAACACCGGUGGCGAAGGCGGCUCUCUGGACCGGUGCUGACGCUCAGGCGCGAAAGCGUGGGGAGCGAUCCGG
rnacentral:rRNA from 1 species